CUGUUACCUGUACUACGUUUGGAUACAGAGCGGCACACAGCACUGCUGAUAUCAGCUUGGGGUUCUCAGCAUUUGUGUUAGCCUGUGAGAGAAACAUAGCAUUACCAUAUGUGGUAUUUUAGUAGGUCAUGUGUUUGCCAGCAUUUGUCUUUCUUUUUUCUUUUGAGACAGUUCCACUUUAGCCCUGCCUGAACUGAGACUCGCUGUCUAGACCUGGCUGGCAAUGAACUCAAAAAGAUCCAGCUACUUCUGUCUCCCACUGCUAGAAUUAAAGAUGUACUACUGCCUUAGUUAGGGUUCUACUGCUAUGAACAGACACCAUGACCAAGGCAACUCUAAGGACAACGUUUAACUGAGGCUGGCUUACAGGUUCAGAGGUGGGAGCAUGGCAGCAGCCAGUCUUAAAGAGCUCACAAUUAUUUUUUUUUUCUAGAUACAUUCAUAGUUAUGAAGCCAGUGCUCUCGACUGGGAUGUGGUUAAGGGGUCCCUCACUAGAGCCAAAGUGGAACUGGUGCAAGUCCUGAUGCCCAGCAUGAUCAAAGUGAACUCUUUUUGCACAGGUUUAAACAAAUAAACACACAGAGGUGGUGUUGGUAUGCAUCAUGGAAAGGAAGAGCCUGGUUUGUGAGACAGACAGACUCUCCAGCAAAUACUAAUUGUUUUAACUCUUUUUUUUUAAAGGAUUUAUUUAUUAUUAUACAUAAGCACACUGUAGCUGACUUCAGACACACCAGAAGAGGGUGUCAGAUCUCAUUAUGGGUGGUUGUGAGCCACCAUGUGGUUUCUGGGAUUUGAACUCAGGACCUUUGGAAGAGCAGUCAGUGCUUUUACCUGCUGAACCAUCUCGCCAGCCCCAUACUAAUUGUUUUAAAACAAAGGACGUCUCCAGAUUGUUAGUGAAACAAAAGCUUUGUAGAGACCUUCUCCAUCAAGACGCUGGCUUCCCAGACGCCAUGGAAGGAGGCCUACAACAGUGUCACAGGGGAAGACAGAAACACAUAUCCUCAUCUUCAGAAAUCCAUUUUGCAUAGCUGAGAAGACUGAGCAGUCCCACUGUCCUGACAACCCCUCUGGGCAACUGCCAGCUACGCCAGCGAGAUGAUGAGGAUGGCACAGAAGACCCAACUCACCUGCAGGGUUCUCCCAGACAGGAAAUUCUGUCUGCAGUAAUUAUAGCUUGCUCGUGCGCUUUCUUUUGUACUCAGCUGCCAACCCUAAAUCGUGGAGAGAAUCAAGCUGAACUUACUGACAUUGGUGCCAGCUGUGGCCACACACCCACGUUCUGAGGGCCCCUUACCUUAUAUGCACAUAGAAGGGCCAGGUAAUCGCUGUUUGCAAAUGCAAACUCCAGCUUUUUCUGAUUAGCUUCUUCUUUCUUAUCCCAGGGAGACACCUAGAUGAGGAAUGGAUUUGAAGGACACGGUGUAUCUGAGGUUUCAAAUGGCCCCUUCCUAUGCUGAAGCCACUACCUGGGGAAACCUCUUGCAGGGUCAGGGUCAAGCCCGACAGUGAAGCUGAUGAGUGGCCUGUUUGUUCUGUGAGUUCGAAAUGAACCCAAGAUAAGUUCUUUGGUCUUUUAGGGCCGAAUGGCAAAAGACAAGCCAUCAAAGGACCGCUCUUUUUUUUCAGGCUCUGUCAUUUGGCUCUUUCUACUUCUUUCUUUUAAUGAUUUACCUUUAUGUGCAUUGGUGUUUUGCCUGCAGGUGUCAGUAAGGGUGACAGAUUCCCUGAAACUGGAGAUACAAAUAGCUGUGAGCUGCCAUGUGGGUGCUGGGAAUCAAACCCUGGUCCUCUGGAAGAGCAGCCAGUGUUCUUAACUGUUGAGACAUCUCUCUAGCCCCCGUUUUUGAUUUUUAAGACACUCUCACUGUGAGACUCUGGCUAGCCUAGAACUUGCUAUGUACACUAAGCUGGCUUCAAAAUUGUGGUGCCUCUGCUUCCAGAAUAAAAGAUCAUCACACCU
rnacentral:lncRNA from 1 species